rnacentral:sRNA from 1 species
UUCCUGGUCCUACAGAGGGUUUAGCACAGAGGAGAAGCUGGGUGGGGUGUUUGUUGCUGUCCUUCCGGCUCUUAAGGAUCGGGGGUGGAUGGAAGACUUCUGCUGCUCCCGCCCCACUCAGCCCCUCUGUCUGCCCGCAGCUCAGAGCCCGACUGUGGCCGAGACACUGCAUCCUGCCUUCUCCGGAGUCCAGCAGUACACAGCCAUGUACCCCACCGCGGCCAUCACGCCCAUCGCGCACAGCGUCCCCCAGCCGCCGCCCCUCCUGCAGCAGCAGCAGCGAGAAGGAGUUUGGAGACACGGAGCUGACGCAGAUGUUCCUACCCUUCGGCAAUAUCAUUUCCUCCAAGGUGUUUAUGGAUCGAGCUACCAACCAGAGCAAGUGUUUCGGCUUCGUGAGCUUUGAUAACCCGGCCAGCGCCCAGGCAGCCAUCCAGGCCAUGAACGGCUUCCAGAUCGGCAUGAAGAGGCUC